AUUGAACGCUGGCGGCAUGCUUUACACAUGCAAGUCGGACGAGUGGCGGACGGGUGCGUAACAUAUCGGAACGUACCUAGUAAUGGGGGAUAACUAAUCGAAAGAUUAGCUAAUACCGCCUAUUAGUCGAUCGGCCGAUAUCGGUUUAGCUGGUGGGUGGGGUAAAGGCCUACAAAGGCGAAGAUCAGUAGCGGGUCUGAGAGGAUGACCCGCCACACUGGGACUGAGACACGGCCCAGACUCCUACGGGAGGCAGAAGUGGGGAAUAUUGGACAAUGGUCGCAAGCCUGAUCCAGCCAUGCCGCGUGUCUGAAGAAGGCCUUCGGGUUGUAAAGGACUUUUGUCAGGGAAGCGGUACCUGAAGAAUAAGCACCGGCUAACUACGUGCCAGCAGCCGCGGUAAUAC
rnacentral:rRNA from 1 species